GACGAACGCUGGCGGCGUGCCUAAUACAUGCAAGUAGAACGCUGAAGAGAGGAGCUUCCUCUUCUUGGAUGAGUUGCGAACGGGUGAGUAACGCGUAGGUAACCUGCCUUGUAGCGGGGGAUAACUAUUGGAAACGAUAGCUAAUACCGCAUAACAAUGGAUGACACAUGUCAUUUAUUUGAAAGGGGCAAUUGCUCCACUACAAGAUGGACCUGCGUUGUAUUAGCUAGUAGGUGAGGUAAUGGCUCACCUAGGCGACGAUACAUAGCCGACCUGAGAGGGUGAUCGGCCACACUGGGACUGAGACACGGCCCAGACUCCUACGGGGGGCAGCAGUAGGGAAUCUUCGGCAAUGGGGGCAACCCUGACCGAGCAACGCCGCGUGAGUGAAGAAGGUUUUCGGAUCGUAAAGCUCUGUUGUAAGUCAAGAACGGGUGUGAGAGUGGAAAGUUCACACUGUGACGGUAGCUUACCAGAAAGGGACGGCUAACUACGUG
rnacentral:rRNA from 1 species